UUUUUAAAAAUUGCCACAAAAUUACAAGGCUUCUUAUGAGAAUUUGAAGAAAAUUAAAGAAAUUCAUCGUGAGUGGUAUCAAAGUGUAACAAAUCACGCGCUCUUUCCAACGGUGCCUAACACGAGUCGUUUAGUGGAGGGGUUUGGGAGUAAUUCACCACGAAAGUUUCAGUCCGUCACGAGUCGUCAACCGAAAAAAAGCACAUGCUGUCAAGUGAUACUUUUGUGAAUUUCUCUUCAACCACACAUUAAGACCAAAAUCUGACCACGGCAUCGUGUUCCUCGGGUCCGAUUACACCCCAGAAACUGUUAUUUCUUCGAAAAUCGCUUUAAUUAAUAGUUUUUCACGUGUCCGAAAAUAUCAAGUGAAACAGUGAGUUUGCAGGAAGAUUACGUCUUUCCUGCUGAAUAAAAUGCAAUCACACCUGCGGCAAUCAACAGGCCAGCUUAUAAACUAUAGAUUUUGAUAACUUUCAAGUUGUGAUACGUUUUGUGGAUGCUGUGAUUGACUUCAAAACACAUGACACACAAAAACCUUAAUCAACCACCUGUUUGGGCCCCCUUACAAGUUGAUUUAACAUCUGCACAAGCCAAAUACAACUGAGAUUUAUUGUUAUUAACAUUGGCUAAGUGCUCAGUGCAUUUGUUAGGAUUUUCUAGUUUUUCAAGUCUAUUGAAGGAUUAUUUCAUCUAGAAACUGUUUAAGGAUGGAUUAGGAAUAGUUAACGAAUGUUUCUCAAUGUGAUAUUGUUCAGAAUAUUCAUGAUUUUUCAUACUACAGGAUAUUAUCUUUUGUUUGUGAGUUGGAAAACCCACUGGAAUCAAGCAAACCAGUUGGUGUUCCUAUUGGUGCUGAUAACAAUACAAGAACAGAGGAAUAUACAGUUUUGAAUGCUGCAACAUGUUAGACUGGUCUAGAAAAUUUGGUGGUAUAGGUUAAUGGAUUAGGUCUGGUUAGAGGUGUAACAUAAUAUUGGUGAUAACUUUGGAAUGAGAAGGAAUUAUGCAAUUUUGACUGCAGAAGAUUAAUCAGAAGGUCUAAUUACCGCUAUAGACAUGUUUUAUAAAGCAGGAAUCAUAACAGGAAUAGCAAAUAAAUCAAAGCCUGCAAUGAAGAGGAUUGAAUAUGGAAGUUAACAAUAACAUAAUAUGCAGCACAAUUUAAUUAUGUUUCAAUUGAUAUAAAAUUUAUUUAAUUUGGAUGAUAAUUAUGCAAGUUGUAAGGAAAAGAAGAAACAAAAACAGGAAAAGCAAAAAUGUGUCAUCAUUCUAAUUACAUACACAUUUCAAAGCAAGCCAGUCAACCGUAGGAUUGAAGAAAAAUUAUACUGAAAACAUCUUAAGGACAAGUGAAUUCUGUAUUAUUUGAUAUAAGAUUUGUUUAAAUUGAAUGAAAAUUAAGAAAGUUAUGAGGAAAAUAAGAAACAAAAGCAGAAAAAGCAUAAAUUCAUCACCAGAUACCAAGGAAAAACAUGAUGCUUAGACAAAUAUCUUGGCAGUGCUCAUAAAACCUUAUGAAAGGUGAUGUUAGAGACGAGUUUAGCUUGUUUAUACAGUAAAUAAUAACAUAGUCAAGUAGAAGAGACCAGUCAACCAGCUAUUUCAAGGGUGUUCAUUGGUUCAAUGCAAUCACAAAACCAUUAUAUUACCCCACAACUAAACAGGGGAGAAAGAAGGCGUGCCCAGCAUUGUAAUUCACCCUUAUUAUGUUGGCUAGGGUCAACAAAAGAGGGUGAGCAGUUGAGUAUGCUGCGUCGGCACAAAGUUAAGCACCUAAUCAGGUAGAAAAGACAUCAAAUUAGGUUUUACACUUUAUGGUACUCUGACCUAUGCUAAUCUGAAAUGAUUAUGAAAUUAUGAGUAAGCAAACACCCAAACACAUUAAAUUAAUGAAUACUUUGCAUUUAUUCAGUUAAACAAGAAAGUAUAUAUGCUACAAUGUCACAAAUUAGUAUAAAAUCAUCACAAACACAACACACAAACUACUAAAACAAUAUUUAAGCAAAUGUAAGUUUGGUUUAUACAGAACAACAGAUCCAGUUAAAGUAGAAUAAAAACACUGUAAAAGUAA